CCGAGUUAGGGUCUUCUAGGCCCGACCUCCAACCCUUUGUUUACUAUACCGUGUUGCUUUGGCGGGCCUGCCUUUCGGGGCUGCCGGGGACUUUCAUAGCCCCUGAUCAGUGCCCGCCAGUAGCCUUCUUAAAUACUUUUAUAAUUAUGUUGUCUGAGUAUACAAAUAAAUCGUUA
rnacentral:misc_RNA from 1 species